rnacentral:rRNA from 1 species
UACGGAGGGUGCAAGCGUUAUCCGGAUUCACUGGGUUUAAAGGGAGCGCAGGCGGAUUGGUAAGUCAGUGGUGAAAGGCUUGAGCUUAACUCGGGAACUGCCAUUGAUACUAUCAGUCUUGAAUAUUGUUGAGGUUUGCGGAAUGGGUCAUGUAGCGGUGAAAUGCAUAGAUAUGACCCGGAACACCUAUUGCGAAGGCAGCAGGCUAAACAAAGAUUGACGCUGAGGCUCGAAAGCGUGGGGGAUCAAACAGG